UACGGAGGAUCCGAGCGUUAUCCGGAUUUAUUGGGUUUAAAGGGAGCGUAGGUGGAUUGUUAAGUCAGUUGUGAAAGUUUGCGGCUCAACCGUAAAAUUGCAGUUGAAACUGGCAGUCUUGAGUACAGUAGAGGUGGGCGGAAUUCCAUGUGUAGCGGUGAAAUGCGUAGAUAUAUGGAGGAACACCGGUGGCGAAAGCGGCUCUCUGGCCUGUAACUGACACUGAGGCUCGAAAGCGUGGGGAGCAAACAGG
rnacentral:rRNA from 1 species